GUUAACAUAGUUUAAUAAAAACAUUAGGUUGUGGGCCUAAAAACAGAAGUUCGACCCUUCUUGUAGACC
rnacentral:tRNA from 1 species